ensembl:lncRNA
CUUUAUGACCAGAAAAGAUAGUCCGCGUAUCUGACUGCGAAUUCAAAUAAUAUAAUGUUUAAACAUUUAACCAGUUGGAAUUGGAGUUUUUUCUCUUUCUUCAGACCUGAGGCCAGGCCCCAGAGGCUGGCGGAGGGUUUGUCCCACUCCUGUCUACUCUAUAUCAUUCCAGUUUUGUAUAAUUCAGAAUCUUAGCAGUAGAUAGAAAGCAAACAAGGACAGAUCUAACCUACAGAAGCCUGUGUCUUCCGGAGGAACCAAGAAGAGCAUGCCACUCCAGCCUGGGCUGAAUGAGCUCCUCUCUUCUCCAACACCCAGAAGCAAGUACCACCCUGGCAGGAAGGAAGUGCUAGUCACCAGACCCAACUGCCACUCCCAGCAGGAAGGAAGUGCUAGUCACAAGACCCAACUGCCACUCCCAGUUGGGCCCUUCCCCCACAAACUGUCAGUCUUGUUUCCUUUCCACAAUGUACAUAUAUAUAUUUGUUAUUUUUAAGGGAGGAUUCGGAUCUAGAAAUUAUUAAUGUAGUGGAACACAUUGGUGUGAUCUGCUUGUGAGCUAGAGUUGCUGGGAUGGAGUGCCUGCAAUUCCCACCUGCAGGACUUUGAUUGAGAAGGCUACUUGGCUACAGACCACAUUGAAAAACAAAUUCAAGGCAAAGGGAUGUCUCUUAAUCUAUCUGCCUCCAUUUUUUUCCCCCAAAGAUGGGAAGACGUGUUAGAUGAUUUGAUCACCUGUCAGAACUGUCUCUAUGAAAUGUCUUCUCUUCUCUUCUCCUUACCAUCUGUACAGAAAAAAAGAACAAAGCUUCCCAUUCUCCAAAAAGAGGGAAGAGCUGCUUCGAGGAGCUUUUCCUAUCUCAAGUCCUUGGAGAACAAAGGACAACCCUUCAAUCCUUCCCUGUGGUUCCUGAUCAGCUGGAGAGCAGCGUGGAGCAAAUCUGGUUAUCUCUGCUCUCUAAACCAGAAUACUCAGAGACCACAGCUGGGUCAAUCCCCUAGGUGGAAACCAACAUCUAUCCACCUUUGUCUCAUCACUAACCUGUGUUUUCAGUACCAAGACAGAAAGGCUGUACUGGUGUAGGAGAAUCAUUGGUGCACAAACUCUAGAAUAGACUCAAGUUUCUGGUCCUCUGUUAGAUCUCCUCACUUAAUUUAAGCAAGAAUGGCAUUUUCUUCAAGAAGUGUUAGAGAUGGAGUCAACACUAACGCCUUGUUAGGAAAUGAGGCAUCAAGCAGUUAACCAAAGGUUUACUUAACUCUUUAAUCAAAGACAAUCUCAUCUUCUCCGAUCUUCUAUAGAACAUGAUUUAUUAUUUACAUUUAGAACUUAAUGUCACAUCCGUCUUUGACAAUGGCUACAGUCCUUCAUAUGUGUGAGUGUGUGUGUGUAAAUGUUUUCUAAACUUAAUAUAGCAAUACUUCAAAGUAGUGAAGUAGUAUCAUAAGAAUAAAGUACAAAAGCACAUAUUUAAGUUCUAGACA